CCCCCCAGGGCGCGACGGAGAAGGAGGGCCUGGGUUCCGCAGCAUUCGAUUUUGAUUAGCUCCGCUACUUGAUUGAAACCCGGAGGGUCCAAUGCGAGCGAGCGCGUGGCCUCCGGGCACCCAAUGGGAGCGCCGGGGCGGUCUGAGGCGCUGGGUUGAAACGUGCGCGAGGAAGCGCGUGAGCGGCCGCAGCUGAGGAGGCGGGCUUGAGAGUGAGGUGGGUGGCGUGAGAGGGAGGCGGCCGCCUCUGAGGGGACCGGGGCGGGUGUGGGUGUCGCGGUCUAGGGUUCCUGUGGGGAAGAGGAAGGUCCCUACCCCACCCCGACCAGGAGGGCGCCGGCGAGGGGGUGGCGCGCAACACGUGCCUGUGUGAGGGAAGGACUCUCCCCCCUCGCUGCCCUGCUCACUUUCCUCACGAGCGCCUUCAUUUCCCUCCCCCAACCGGACUCACAACAGACCUGUGAGGUAGGCCAGGCUGAGAAAGAGGGUGGCUGGCCGCCGACUCUCAACCCCCACCCCUCAGUUUAGCCUCACAACAGACGUGACAUAGGUAGGCCAGACUGAGGAAAAAACAUUAAAAACGGUCACUGUACAGUUUUGCGUGAAUUACGUUUAGGUAUUGCCC